UACGGGGGGGGCAAGCGUUGUUCGGAAUUACUGGGCGUAAAGAGUUCGUAGGCGGUUUGUCGCGUCGUUUGUGAAAACCCGGGGCUCAACUUCGGGCUUGCAGGCGAUACGGGCAGACUUGAGUGUUUCAGGGGAGACUGGAAUUCCUGGUGUAUCGGUGAAAUGCGCAGAUAUCAGGAGGAACACCGGUGGCGAAGGCGGGUCUCUGGGAAACAACUGACGCUGAGGAACGAAAGCGUGGGUAGCAAACAGG
rnacentral:rRNA from 1 species